UUCACUGCAACCUCCGCCUUCCGAGUUCAAGCAAUUCUCCUACCUCAGCCUCCUGAGUAGCUGGGACUACAGGCACAUGCCACCACACCGGGCUAAUUUUUGUAUUUUCAAUAGAGACAGGGUUUCACUAUGUUGUCCAGGCUGGUCUUGAAUUCCUGACUUCGUGAUCCACCUGCCUCGGCCUCCCGAAGUGCUGGAAUUACAGGCAUGAACCACCGCGUCUGGCCACACUUUUUUUUUUCUUAAUUAACUUAAUGACUCUCUCCCUUGACAUUUUGGACGCUAGGUGAAAGCAGAAAACGGCUUCCAGCUGAACUGAGCCAUAAAGUGUCAAGUAAAAAACCAAUCUGGACCAAGGUAAGAAAACUUUUAUUUUUUCACAAGGGUCAGUGGACUAUUGCAAAAGAAAGAACACUUUAACCACGAGAUUUGUAAGCAUCUCCAGGGUUAGGCAAAACCAGUUUUUCUUUUCUGGAGAGAAGUCAACAAAGCUAGAAAAAACCAGUGUGAACACUAAGAUAAAAAGCCGUGUGUGAUGAAAUAGAGCAGAUCAGAGAAUGUCAGCCUGCUCCCAGGAGGAUCUCUCAUAGGGAGGGGCUGUCUGCUGGCUGAGGUUGAGGGUGGGCCAAGGCUCAGGGGCCUCAGGGAAGGAGAGAAGCUUAACUUAAGUUUAGUUAACAAAGAUUUUGUUUCUGAUUGAUCAGUGGGGCAAAAUACUUCAGCUAAGCAUUUUACAAGGCUUAUGAGAACAGCAGUUUGGAGGAUCUGUCUGGCCUUGUCAUAGGUUAACAAGGGGGCUUCCAUGAGGCUUAUCUAAGUCACAUGUGAAGUGUCGCUCUUUGUAGUAAGCUGUUUCCAGAACACAGAAGGGUGACGGGAUUUCUUUACCUAUUGCUGUCUUCCAGGAUAACAGGACACCAGUAAAAUUCAACAGCAUUGAUAGGAAUGCUGAAUAGGAAUUCAACAAAACAUACAAAUACAUACAUUUCAAACACCUACCAGCUGUCCCAGUUCUCCAAGUGUGUUAUAAGCCACACCUCCCUCCAAAUGGUGUUACAGCUGAUGUUCCGAUUUCAGAUGACCCUCCUUCUGUCAGAGGUAUUUGAACCAGAGUGACUCCAUCUUGAAUAGAGGGCUGGGUAAAAUGAGGCUGAGACCUACUGGGCUGCAUUUCCAGGAGGUUAGGUGUUCUUAGACACAGGAUGACAUAGGAAGUUGCCACAGGUCACAAAGACCUUGCUGAUAAAACAGCAUGUGGUACAGAAGCCAGCCAAAUCCCACCAAAACCAAAAUUACCAUGAAAGUGACCUCUGGUUGUCCUCAUUGCUCAUUAUACACUUAUUAUAAUACUAAGAGACACUCCCACCAGUGCCAUGACAAUUUACAAAUGCCAUGGCAACAUCAGGAAGUUAGUCUAUAUGAUCUAAAAGGGGGAGGAACCCUCAGUUCCGGGAAUUUUCCACCCCUUUCCCAGAAAACUCAUGAAUAAUCCAUCCCUUGUUUAGCAUUUAAUUAAGAAAUAAUGAUAAAAAACAGCCAACCAGCAGCCCUUGGGGUUGCUCUGCUUAUGGAGUUGCCAUUAUUUUGUUUCUUUACUUCUCUAAUAAACUUGCUUUUACUUUACUAUAUGGACUCACCCCAAAUUGUUUCUUGCACAAGGUCCAAGAACCCUCUCUUGGGGUCUGGAUUAGGAUUCCUUUCUGGUAACAUUUCUACCACUGCACAGUAUCUCACAAGCUGUCACCCUUUCUUCAACUUUAAACUUCAGGUUUUAUUCAAGAUAAACUGCCACAUUUAUUGUAGUGUGUCUUAGUCUGUUUUGUGUUGCUACAACAGAAUACCACAGACUGGGUAAUUUAUAAUGAACAGAAAUUUAUUUGGCUCAUGGUUCUGGAGGCUGGGAAGUCCAAGAGAAUGGCACUGGCUUCUAGCAAGGGCCCUCAUGCUGCAUCACGCCGUGGUGAAAUGCUGAAGGCCAAGAGAGCACAUGAGUGAAAAAGAGAGAGAAAGAAGGGAAGGGUGCCGAACUUAUCCUUUUUAUCAGGAACCCACUCCCACAAUAACUAACCCAGUUCCAUGAUAACAGCAUUAAUCUAUUCAUUAGGGAAGAUGCCUCAUGACCUAAUCACCUCUUAAAGGUGAUGCCUCUCAACAGUGUUGCAUUGGGGAUUCAGUCUCCAACACAUGAAGUCUGGGGGACACAUUCAAACAAUAGUAUGGUGUUUAUGUCUUUCUUAACCAUCAAAUAUGUGUGAGACUGUGCUACCAUUUUUGUUAGUUUCCUAUCUUUUUUUUAAUGUGUCACUGACAAUGUUUUUGAGUGUGCCCUAACUCCAUUUUUCCAUAAGCCCUAUGACUUUAUUUUAUUUUAUUUUAUUUUGAGACAGAGUCUUGUUCUGUUGCCUAGGUUGGAGUGCAGUGGCACAGUCUUGACUCACUACAGCCUCUGCCUCCUAGGUUCAAGAGAUUCUUGUGCCUCAGCCUCCCUAGUAGCUGGGACUACAGGUGUGCACCACAAUGCCCGGUUAAUUUUGGUAUUUUUAGUAGAGAUGGAGUUUCACCUUGUUGGCCAGGCUGGUCUUGAACUGCUGACCUGAACUGAUCCACCUGCCUCAGCCUCCCAAAGUGCUGAGAUGACAGGCAUGAGCCACCACGCCUGGCCUACCCUAUGAUUUUUAAUCACACAAUUUUACAUAGCACAAUGAUUUUUAGGAACACAUAAAUCAUUUUAUAGUGGAACUGUCUGUAUUUGCAGCACAGUCAGCUCUUAGGAGAGGAAGCAGCCCAGGGUAAUGGCACUUCACAACUCCAGGGACAAUGGUUACGUGGCACCUUCUGUGGUGUGUAUUCUGUGGAGUGUGCCCAUAGGACCAUGAAUGUUUUGUGCCCAGCACAAGGGUUCCCAGCUGAGAUGUGGACAGGGGCUGAGAUCCAAUGCUUACUCUGCCUGCCAAAGUCAUCACAUUCUCUGUCCACCCAGAGGGAGCUCCUGUUGCUAGCUCAUAACACACAAAAGAGGAGAAAAGGGGUUUUAAUUGCAUUUGGAAUUGAAGUGAAAUAGUUGAAAAACACAGAAUUGUAUUGUAAAUGUCAAAAUGAGAUUUUACUAACAGCCUAAAACAGUGCUUCCAAAUCUCAAAGAAAAGGAUGACAUUUGUUGACCACUUAUGGGCCAAGGCAACUGGCCAAGAGCUCUGACAGCCCCAGGCCCCACCCACGCUACUCAGAGGGUUAAGGGAUUUAUUUCUCCAUCUGUCCUGCACUUUCAUAGUUCAGUGUGCUGUGGCAUCUUAAUUGGAUACCUCUGACCAAAAGUGAAGGUAAAUUAAGGAACCUUACCAAGAUGACAUCAUGGGACUCAUUACUCAAUGGGAAAGGCAAAGUGGGGGGCUGGGGGGCAGGGAAACAGGGGAGAUAUGUGUUAGUUAGUGCACCUACUGAAAGAGGGAAAGCAAUUUCUAUAUUGAGGGGACCAUACAUCCUAAUUUGCCCAGGACACUCCUGAUUUAUGCAUCCUUUUUCAUCCUCAAAAGGGUCCCAGUAACCCUAUUUACACUCCAAAAAGUUAACACUUCUUAAUCAAUAAUUGGUGAAACACCCUGUGGUGUGUGUGUGUGUGUGUAUAUAUAUAUAUAUAUAUUUGGUCCUUGUCCUGUCCCUGGUUUUUGACAAGGAGCUCCUAAAUCCUUUGACAUUUUUUGAGUGAAAGGAGUGUCUUUUGUUACUCAAAGGAACCUUAGAGUCCUUGUCUGUCUUCAGCCAUGUAUGAAAGUGUACGCGAAUAAGGUCAGUCUUGUUGGGCACCUAGAUGACUUCAGGAUGGGGCUGGUCAUCAGAGGAAUCAAUCAUGUGAUUACAGGGCUGCAACAUCCAGUCCCACUGGGGAGGGGACAGGGGUAGGAGUUUGAGCUCAAUAACCAAUGGCCAGUGAUUUAAUCAACCAUGCCUAUGUAAUGAAAUUGCCAUAAAAUCCCCCAAAGGGGACAGAAGGGUUUCAGAGCUUCUGAGUUGAUUAACACAUCCAUGGAUGGAGAGGGUGGUGCACCCUGACUCCACAGGGACAGAGGUUCUUUACCCUAUGCACCUCUUCAUCUAGCUGUUCAUUCAUAUCCUUCAUAAUAAACUGUAGGUGUAGUAUUUUCCUGAGUUCUAUGAGUCAUUCUAGCAAAUUAUUGUACUUGAAGCAAGCAUGGGCCAUGGGGAUUCCUGAAUUUGUAGCCAAAUUGGACAAAAGUGCAGGCAGCCCAGAAACCCAGGACUUAUGGCUGGUGUCCCAAGUGAGGGCUGUCUUGUGGGACUGAGCCCUUAAACCUAUGGAGUCUGACACUAACUCUGGUUAGUCAGUGUCAGAAUAGGAUUGGAUUGUUGUACACCUAGUUAGUGUCAUGGGAACCAGACGCAGUCGUUCAAGUUUCAAUUAUAACCCCUCUAGAAGACAAUUGGUCUGGGGACAGAUCUUAGUAGUAGAUGCCAGACUGAGUAUUACCACUCCCCUCAACGUUAGAGACGGUGAUACUCGGCCAUGGGCCUCCCACCUCCUCCCUUGAAGUGCAACAGGACCACCAUGUUGCCUGCCUCCUCAGACACCAUUCACAGCGUAUUUUAUGUGAAGGUGUGGGUUUAUCUUUUUUAAUUCCUAGGAAAUAAGAAUUCAAGGUGACCUUCCUGGCACCCUCUCUACCUGAGCAGCCUCCCCCAUACCAUUUCAUAAGGAUUUUCCCCAGCUCAAGUAGUAGAUGAGAACUUUUGCAAAUCAGCUGGCUAACCAGAUGUCCAACGGUGGAACAGACGACCAGUGUCCUUUCUUGCAGACACCCCAGUUUGAGCCCUACGUCUGUCUCGGCCUUAGGGAAAAGACAAAGGGGCGUCCCUGCAUGAACACUGUACUACCCACCGGCCAACAACCUCUAAUAUUUUUUGGGAAAGGUGUGGACCAGUUUCAUUUUUUCUCGGUAAGCCUUGCGGGAAUAUGCGUGCUCUGAGAAGGGAACACUAUCAGGUAGGUGACUUGAUUGACGUGUCUGCCACAAUGGUCCUGCUGCUUAGAAAUCCGUCAGUCCUUUGUGCAUACCCCCUACGUCUGGGACUGUUCACCUGCAUCAGUGACCAAUGGUUUUGGCUAAAAGUUACAAAACCACAUUGGCCAGGCUAGCCUCGAACUCCUGACUUCAAGUGAUCCGCCUGCCUUGGCCUCCCAAAGUACUGAGAUUAAAGGUGUGAGCCACCUGUAAUCCAGCCCAAAAGCCUUUUCUUUCUGAGGCUCUGUCUUUUUUCUAGGAAUUGAGGGUCCCAGACUGACUUCCCUUAGGUCUCUUUGUCCAAAACUGGGGUUGGAAACAAAAAGGGGAAUGGGAUUGCCAGGGCUGGCAUAGACACAUGAUAACUUGUUUCUGGUGUUGGGGGAAGGAUCUUGCCCUUACAACAAGCCAGGGAAAGGGGUGGAGGGGAGGGUAAUGGUCACCCCUCUGAGUGCCAACCUUGACCAUCUAUCUUCCUUACUGGUCAGUUCUUCAGUGCACCCGCACCUCCAAUGUCCAUGCCCUUCUUGCAGACACCCCAGGGGGAGGCCCUUCUUCUUUUCUCCCUCCCAGCAAUACUGGACUUUUCCACAGCAGUGGAUACCACUCAAUAAAUGUUUC
rnacentral:lncRNA from 1 species